GAGUUUGAUCCUGGCUCAGAUUGAACGCUGGCGGCAGGCCUAACGCAUGCAAGUCGAGCGGAUGACGGGAGCUUGCUCCUUGAUUCAGCGGCGGACGGGUGAGUAAUGCCUAGGAAUCUGCCUGGUAGUGGGGGACAACGUUUCGAAAGGAACGCUAAUACCGCAUACGUCCUACGGGAGAAAGCAGGGGACCUUCGGGCCUUGCGCUAUCAGAUGAGCCUAGGUCGGAUUAGCUAGUUGGUGGGGUAAUGGCUCACCAAGGCGACGAUCCGUAACUGGUCUGAGAGGAUGAUCAGUCACACUGGAACUGAGACACGGUCCAGACUCCUACGGGAGGCAGCAGUGGGGAAUAUUGGACAAUGGGCGAAAGCCUGAUCCAGCCAUGCCGCGUGUGUGAAGAAGGUCUUCGGAUUGUAAAGCACUUUAAGUUGGGAGGAAGGGCAGUAAGUUAAUACCUUGCUGUUUUGACGUUACCGACAGAAUAAGCACCGGCUAACUCUGUGGCAGCAGCCG
rnacentral:rRNA from 1 species